UACGUAGGCAGCAAGCGUUGUUCGGAGUUACUGGGCGUAAAGGGUGCGUAGGCGGCCCUGUAAGUAUGGUGUGAAAUCUCCCGGCUUAACUGGGAGGGUGCGCUAUAGACUGCGGGGCUCGAGUGUGGGAGAGGAAAGUGGAAUUCCUGGUGUAGCGGUGAGAUGCGUAGAUAUCAGGAGGAACACCGGUGGUGUAAACGGCUUUCUGGACCAUAACUGACGCUGAGGCACGAAAGCGUGGGUAGCAAACAGG
rnacentral:rRNA from 1 species